CCCUUGUAUUAAUUAAUGAAUUUAAUUAGUAUAUUAGUGAAAUUUAAUAAUUUUGGCGGUUAAUUAUUAAUUAGAGGAGCUUGUAUUUAAGUAGAAUUAGCUCUUUAUAUUUAAUUAAUAAAUGAUUUAUUCAUCUCCGUUGUAAAUUUAAAGGGAUGAAAAAAUGUUAAAUUUUCAAAAGAUUUCAGGUCAAGAUGUAGUUUAUAUUGAUAAGUAUUAGCUACAUUUAUACAAUAAUAUGGAUUAUAAAAUUGAAGUAAUUAAUAAAGAAAUUGAAUUUAAUUGUAAUUAUAUUUAAAAUAGUAUGGUGAAUGGUGGUAGUUAAUGUACAUAUUGCCCGUCACUUCUAUUUUAAGGG
rnacentral:rRNA from 1 species